CUUGAUAAACUUAUAAGAGGUCCAGCCUGCCCAGUGACUCUGUUCAACGGCCGCGGUAUCCUAACCGUGCGAAGGUAGCGUAAUCACUUGUUCUUUAAAUGAGGACUAGUAUGAAUGGCACCACGAAGGUUAUACUGUCUCCUUUUUCUAAUCAGUGAAACUAAUCUUCCCGUGAAGAAGCGGGAAUAAAAGUAUAAGACGAGAAGACCCUAUGGAGCUUUAAACAAAUAUACACCUGCCUUCCCACCAAAAAAAUUUCAGCAAACAAAUAAUUACCCAGGCAUUUUGAUAUAGCGUUUUAGGUUGGGGUGACCACGGAGCAAAAAACAACCUCCGCAACGAACGGGAAAUCUUUCCCUAAACCAAGGGCCACCACCCCAAGUAUCGAUAAAUCGACACUAAUUGACCCA
rnacentral:rRNA from 1 species